rnacentral:rRNA from 1 species
ACUCCUACGGGAGGCAGCAGUGGGGAAUAUUGCACAAUGGGGGAAACCCUGAUGCAGCCAUGCCGCGUGUGUGAAGAAGGCCUUCGGGUUGUAAAGCACUUUCAGUAGGGAGGAAGGUAGUGUAGUUAACACCUGCAUUAUUUGACGUUACCUACAGAAGAAGCACCGGCUAACUCCGUGCCAGCAGCCGCGGUAAUACGGAGGGUGCGAGCGUUAAUCGGAAUUACUGGGCGUAAAGCGCAUGCAGGCGGCCUGUUAAGUCAGAUGUGAAAGCCCGGGGCUUAACCUCGGAAUUGCAUUUGAAACUGGCAGGCUAGAGUCUUGUAGAGGGGGUAGAAUUUCAGGUGUAGCGGUGAAAUGCGUAGAGAUCUGAAGGAAUACCAGUGGCGAAGGCGGCCCCCUGGACAAAGACUGACGCUCAGAUGCG